rnacentral:rRNA from 1 species
UACGAAGGGUGCAAACGUUGCUCGGAAUCAUUGGGCGUAAAGCGCACGUAGGCGGCUUUGCAAGUCGGAUGUGAAAUCCCGUGGCUCAACCAUGGACGUGCAUUCGAAACUGCAAAGCUUGAGUAUGGAAGAGGGUCGCGGAAUUCCCGAAGUAGAGGUGAAAUUCGUAGAUAUCGGGAGGAACACCGGUGGCGAAGGCGACCAUCUGGACGGAUACUGACGCUGAGACGCGAAAGCGUGGGUAGCAAACAGG